rnacentral:rRNA from 1 species
UACAGAGGGUGCAAGCGUUAAUCGGAAUUACUGGGCGUAAAGCGUGCGCAGGCGGUUUGCUAAGACAGGUGUGAAAUCCCCGGGCUUAACCUGGGAACUGCGCUUGUAACUGGCAAGCUAGAGUGUGGCAGAGGGGGGUGGAAUUCCAAGUGUAGCAGUGAAAUGCGUAGAUAUUUGGAGGAACACCGAUGGCGAAGGCAGCCCCCUGGGCUAACACUGACGCUCAUGCACGAAAGCGUGGGGAGCAAACAGG